AUGGGGACGGGAGGUGAAGGAAGAGAAAGAAGAGAAGGGGGGAAAAGAGAGAUGGAAAAAGACAAAAAGGGAAAGAACUAGAAGGAUCUAGAGUAGAGAGUGAAUAUUUAUUACACUUUAGUGUUGGUAGCUCCCAGAUAAAGACCUUUCACAUAUAUGGCCUCAAAUGUUACAGAGGCUUGGGAAGCAAACUUCCCCUCUUCAGUUUGCAGAUGGAGAAAGAGAAGGUCCUGGAAGUUGCCUCUACGGUCCAGUACUUAGUGGGUGAACAAUAGGGACACACAGGUGCAUGUCCCGCGGUGGAUGACUAAGAGUAAGAAAGAAAAUCUGAGGACGGAAAGGCAGAAAAGGAAGUAGCAUGUUUGUUGGAAGCUGGGAGCCUGCCACCAACCAUUGCCCAGACGCCAAAGGGCAAUGGGCUGUUGGCCGACUUCCUGUGUUCUUAUGAUUAGCCCCUAUGAACAGCCACCACAGCUCAGCUUCCCUAAUUCAGUGUAGGUCUUGAUGCCAUUGGUUGGAUCGUACAGCAAAACUUUGUUUCAGAGACUCUUUAGGUUAAAAUACACAGUGGAAACCGCAAAGGGCGUGGGCAGCGUGCUGGGUCUCACACAGCCUUUCGGGAUUCGGCAGCAGGAGGACAGUCAGGGUCCUCUGAAGGCAUUUCCCACGACAAAUGGACAUCAAGAAGUGCUAUCCUUCUCUUCUGCCAAAGGGCAUACUGGGCAUGGUUCCUAAUAUUGACGUGGAACGAAAAGUGAGUUUGCAAAUUACUUAAUGUGAGAAGUCUCAGAAUGAGAGGCGGAGGGAGGAAAUGGAAGGAGUGCACCAACUCCUUAUCAGGAAGAAAAUCACUUGCCAGAGGCCCCUGACCAGACUCCCUUAUAUUUCGUUGGCUGGAACUGGAACACGUGGGCACUCUUAGCUCAGAGGAAGACUGAGAAAGAAUUUGAUCGUGGUCACGUAACCCUGGACUCCAAUUGAGGGGAGUUCAACUUCAGCCUAAGUUAAAUCUCCCAAGGCCUCGAUGGACUCUGCUCCCUCCAGAGCUCCCCUCGGGUCCCCAGCCUGAACGCAUCUCCUCACAGGACCAAAGCUCUGAGUUUUUAAAGAUGCUGUUGAUCAACUGCAGAAGGCAGGCAAGGAGAGGGCAGACCGAAGACGUUUCUUCUUAAAUUUGGAACAUGCGGCAACUGCUUUAUGAAGAAAACUUUUAAGAGAUUCCUUCCAGCAAGUCAAGAUGAGUUAAGCACUUACGGCCUCCCACAGCAGUCUCGCCCUCAUCUCUAUGGUGCUGGGCUGUAUUUACCCAAGACGAAGAAUAAGCAGCUUCCGAGGGGCUGUCUACGUGGCUGGAGAGCAAUCUGGAAAUGGGCAUUAUUUUCUUCUCACUGAGGCAAAGAGUAGAUCUGUUGCAAUGAACACUCCGGCAGGAAUACUCACACGGGGAGCCGGAAACACAUUUAACAGCUCUCCACAGUCUGGCCAGGAAGCUUCCCGCACCGAUCCGUACUCCCCUAGCACCUGGGGCCUACGAAGCACUUUCCCAAGUUCCAUGUCAUUUGAUCCCCAAAACAACUCUCAGACCAGACGGGACAAUUAUAAAAGUCUCUUCUUCACAGUUACAAAAUCUGAGGCUCAGAGAAGAGAAAUGAAACUAAGUCACUCUGAAUCACACCCCAAACCCACAUUACUUCCUUCUGUAGAUUUAGCUGAUGCAUGAUAAACAGCUCCUUAAUGUCAAUAUUGGUCUCUUUGUGGGGCUGGGGCCUGAGCGUUAGCCACGACCAGGACCAGCAUGCUGGGCCUACAAUGGAAAGAGCCAAUUUCUUAAUGGCAGUGAUUAUAUUUUUCAGUUUUGCCAUAAAUAUAAAAAAUGAAACAAACACUUCCAUCACAAGCAUAAUCAAAAGACAGACCAAGGAGUUUUGAAGUCAGUGGAAACUGUGAGGCUGGACAGAAUGGGACGGGAGCGGAUAAGCCUCUCUGGAUAUCCAGACUUCAAAUAAUCUAACACUGGAAGGAGGGAGAGCCAACUAAUUAAUGCAGAAGGAAUACGAGAGCUAGAAAACCACCGGUUUGCAACCAUGACUGCCUUAAUCGAUUCAGGCAAGAAUUAUCAAUGGAUAUUAAAGCCAUCAAGUAAAGUCUGAUGAACAGAAUAAUUACACAGUGUCUAAGUAACACUAUCCCCAGGUGACUUGCUAAUGAAAAGGAAAAAGCCUUUAGAAAUAGAAUAUAUAUUUAUAUACAUAAACACAUAAAGAUUUCUAUAGAUAAAUCUUUGUAAUUUAACUUCAUAGUAGAGAAACCUGGCAAACACCCCCCCCCAAGUGAUCAAAAUGAAUAUCACCAACAAUGGGACAAACUGACAUCAAGAGGUUCUUGACAUGAUGUACUGAGGAAGACAAAUCCUGUCUGUGGAAUUCCUGCCACAA